rnacentral:tRNA from 1 species
GCCAGCUUAGCUCAGCGGUAGAGCAACGGUUUUGUAAACCGUGGGUCGCCGGUUCAAUCCCGGCAGCUGGCUCCA